rnacentral:rRNA from 1 species
AACGAACGCUGGCGGCAUGCCUAACACAUGCAAGUCGAACGAGACCUUCGGGUCUAGUGGCGCACGGGUGCGUAACGCGUGGGAACCUGCCCUUAGGUUCGGAAUAACUCCCCGAAAGGGGUGCUAAUACCGGAUAAUGUCUUCGGACCAAAGAUUUAUCGCCUUUGGAUGGGCCCGCGUUGGAUUAGCUAGUUGGUAGGGUAAAAGCCUACCAAGGCGACGAUCCAUAGCUGGUCUGAGAGGAUGAUCAGCCACACUGGGACUGAGACACGGCCGAGACUCUUACGGGAGGCAGCAGUGGGGAAUAUUGGACAAUGGGCGAAAGCCUGAACCAGCAAUGCCGCGUGAGUGAUGAAGGCGUUAGGGUUGUAAAGCACUUUUACCCGGGAUGAUAAUGACAGUACCGGGAGAAUAAGCACCGGCUAACUCCGUG